UGGGGAAUCUUGCGCAAUGGACGAAAGUCUGACGCAGCGACGCCGCGUGGGUGAAGAAGGCCUUCGGGUUGUAAAGCCCUGUCGAGUGGGAAAAAUGGUACCCAGAGUAAUAUGCUGGGUAAUUGAUGGUACCACUAGAGGAAGCACCGGCUAACUUCGUGCCAGCAGCCGCGGUAAUACGAGGGGUGCAAGCGUUGUUCGGAAUUAUUGGGCGUAAAGGGCAGGUAGGUUGUCUUGAAAGUCUACUGUGAAAUCCCCGGGCUCAACCCGGGACGUGCGGUAGAUACUCCAAGACUAGAGUACUGGAGGGGUUCGUGGAAUUCCUGGUGUAGCGGUGAAAUGCGUAGAUAUCAGGAGGAACACCAGAGGCGAAGGCGGCGAACUGGACAGUAACUGACACUCAACUGCGAAAGCGUGGGUAGCAAACAG
rnacentral:rRNA from 1 species